rnacentral:rRNA from 1 species
UGGGGAAUAUUGCACAAUGGGCGAAAGCCUGAUGCAGCAACGCCGCGUGAGCGAUGAAGGCCUUUGGGUCGUAAAGCUCUGUCCUGGGGGAAGAAACAAAUGACGGUACCCCGGGAGGAAGCCCCGGCUAACUACGUGCCAGCAGCCGCGGUAAUACGUAGGGGGCGAGCGUUAUCCGGAAUUAUUGGGCGUAAAGAGUGCGUAGGUGGUUUUAUAAGCGCGAGGUGAAAGGCAGUGGCUCAACCAUUGUAAGCCUUGCGAACUGUGAGACUUGAGUGCAGGAGAGGAAAGUGGAAUUCCUAGUGUAGCGGUGAAAUGCGUAGAUAUUAGGAGGAACACCAGUGGCGAAGGCGACUUUCUGGACUGUAACUGACACUGAGGCACGAAAGCGUGGGGAGCA